rnacentral:rRNA from 1 species
UCAGGGUACUGCGGAGGACAUUAAUGAAUCUUGAAAGGGGUUGUAGCUGGCCUUUUCGUCUGAGAGGCAUUUUGUGCACACCCUGAUCAUUGUCCAUUUUCACACCUGUGCACCCUCUUGUAGGAUGGGCUGUUGGGAGUGGAGUCUAUGUCUGACUUCACUUUGUUGUGGCCUUCCUAUGUUUUAUCACAAACUACCAUGUUUAAAGAAUGUCAUCUGUGCUUAAUGCAUUUAUAUACAACUUUCAGCAACGGAUCUCUUGGCUCUCGCAUCGAUGAAGAACGCAGCGAAAUGCGAUAAGUAAUGUGAAUUGCAGAAUUCAGUGAAUCAUCGAAUCUUUGAACGCACCUUGCGCUCCUUGGUAUUCCGAGGAGCAUGCCUGUUUGAGUGUCAUGGAAUUCUCAACUCUACUCACUUUUGUGCUUAGAGCUUGGACUUGGAGGCUUUUUGCUGGACACCUGAGGUGUUCAGCUCCUCUUGAAUGCAUUGGCUCGAGUCCUUGAGUGGAUCAGCUUCGGUGUGAUAAUUAUCAUACGCCGUGCUGUGAAACAUUUUGAUUCAGGCUUGGGCUUCUAAUUGUCUCUUAGUAGACAAUCAAUUUGACCUCUGACCUCAAAUCAGGUAGGGUUACCCGCUGAACUUAAGCAUACUAA